GACGAACGCUGGCGGCGUGCUUAACACAUGUAAGUCGAACGGAGAUUCAGCAAUGGAUCUUAGUGGCGAAUGGGUGAGUAACGCGUAGGCAAUCUGCCUUCUAGAUGGGGACAACAUCCCGAAAGGGGUGCUAAUACCGAAUGUUGUACCGUUUCCGCAUGGAGAUGAUACUAAAAGUGGCCUCUGAAUAUGCUACCGCUAGAAGAUGAGCCUGCGUCUGAUUAGCUAGUUGGAGGGGUAACGGCCCACCAAGGCUUCGAUCAGUAGCCGGUCUGGGGGGAUGAACGGCCACACUGGGACUGAGACACGGCCCAGACUCCUACGGGAGGCAGCAGUGGGGAAUCUUCCGCAAUGGACGAAAGUCUGACGGAGCAACGCCGCGUGAGUGAAGAAGGUUUUCGGAUCGUAAAGCUCUUUCGUUAGGGACGAACGUGCUCUUUGUGAAUAAUGAGGAGUAAUGACGGUACCUAAAUAAGAAGCCACGGCUAACUACGUGCCAGCCGCCGCCGUAACAC
rnacentral:rRNA from 1 species